rnacentral:lncRNA from 1 species
CUUGAAAUGGGCUGAGUCCCUCUUGCUCACCCUUGACUUGGAAAAACCAGUUUCUCUUUUAUUGUCUGUUACUAAUCUCUAUUCUAAAAAUUCAGCUCAAUUCUCAACCAUACUCCAAACUCUCUCUUUUCCAGCUACCUUUACUCCCUCUCCUUCAAUUCCACUUUCCUCUGCUUACUUUUUUUUUUUUUCUGACAGGGUCUCACUUUGUCGCCCGGGCAGGAGUGCAGUGGCUCAAUCUUGGGCUCACUGCAGCCUCAACCUCCCAGGUUCAAGCGAUUCUCCUGCCUCAGCCCCUCAAGUAGCUGGGACUACAAGCGCACACCACCACGCCUGACUAAUUUUUUGUAUUUUUUUGUAGAGGCGGGGUUUCACCAUGUUGCCCAGACUGGUCUUGAACUCCUGAGCUUAAGCAAUCCACCUGCCUCGGCCUCCCAAAGUGUUGGGAUCACAGGCGUGAGCCACCGCAUCCGGCCUCAUGUUCUUUUUCAUUAAAGAGAGAAAUCAACUAUUCAGGACCGGCCCCCACCUUUCCUCAGGAGUCAUUUCUGUUCCGCACAGGCCUGCUGAACUGGGUGCUUUAUAUAGGGUAAGUGUUUCUCAUUUUUUGUUCCCUGUCCUCAAGCCUUAGGGGCAAAAGAAACAUCCAAGAUUUGAAAUUUCUUUUCUUCUUCUCAUCUGCAUGGCUGUAGCCAUCUCUCUGUUCUGCAUUAUCUUAUGACAAAAAAAAAAAAUUCUUAUUUUGAAGCAAACUCAAAGCUAGGUCCUGAUGUCUCAAGGCACAGGUACUCGUACUUAAAGGUGAGUCUGAAAUCUGUGGAUUUGGGGAACUUUGGAAAAACAAAGAUGAGUGGCUAGAUCAGGGGGCUCAUUGGGCAGGAAGAGGAGACUGGAAAAUGCCAUAUUCACUGCAAGUCAAUUAUCAACUUCCUCCAAGGCUAAAAUAGCUGAACCUGCUGCAUUUUAAACCAAUCCUCAGCCACUUUGGUGUUUUCUCAAGGAUUUCCAGGGAUCCCAGGCAGUAAAUUCUGCUGAUAAUAGGAAUUGGUGUGAUAAGGUGGGUGCUGAGCAGUUUAAGCACCAAGAUUGUAGCUCUGUCUGGUUUUGUGGAGAUUUACUCAACUAGAAGAACAGAGAUUUGGCUGGUUUUUCAGUCCUGGGGUGCAGGGUGCACCUGUACUGGAAAAUUUAGGACGUGGUUUCAUUCUUUGAGUCUCAUGUUCAAGUUGGUUUUAAUGUUAUGAAGACACUUGGGACGUAAUCCUGAGGGCAGCUGGGGGGAAGAAAGUGGUCACUGGAUGGACUUACCCUGUAGCGAGCCCAUGCAUGGUUUGUUCUCUGAUCGUGCAUGUGCUUGGCUCUAGACCCAUGUAACCAUGGUGAAGGCCACUGGGGGAUUCAGUUGGCAAAGGCAUAGUGGGCAGAAGAAUCUUGAACAAGGAGUCCAGAGCAGGUCAAGUCUCCUGAUACAGGUUGUGACUCAUGGUUUUUUGUCUCUGCCUGUAGCAGCUACAGGUCUGUAAAGCAAGGGGAGAGUGAUAAGGAAAGAACUCACCUUUCUGGGGCUCUCUGACAUUAAUGCCACCUCCCAUUUGCUUUUUGCAGACACUGUCAUCUCUCAAGUACCCAUCUUGGAGGGUACGGACCCCACAUGAGGGUGAGGCUCUCUGCACACUCCAGAGUGAGGACUUUAAUAAUCUAGUGGACUGUACAUGUUGGGAGGGGAAGAGCGGGGUGCCGAGGGUCUGGAGGGAGAAGAAUUGACUGCCCCUUUUGCUCUUGGAGUUAAGCAGAAAUCUAAAGAGAAGGCAAAGAAUCUUGCCUUCCUGGCAUCAUUUCCUCCUACCAUCCCAGGCCAUCAUUUAUUUAUUACAGCCAACAGACUGGCCUCUUUCUUCCCUUUGACUGGGAAUGGGUCAAAGGCGGUGCAGGAGGAGGAUCUGGUCCAGAUAAUUCACAAGCAGGGUGCAUUUUCCUCUCAUUAUUGAGAACUGUGAGUGUUUAUCAAGAAGGCAGAGCAGGAGAAGAUGAACCAGUCUUCUUCCCCUCACUACCCAGAUCUCUGCCUGCCAACAAGCCCCGUGUUCACCCUGGCAAAGAGUCUUUACAUUCAGACCAAGGAGAGUGUGACUCCUUCUCAGCACUAGCUAGAAACCUCAAGCCCUUGCUUAAGGGCCUUUUUCAGAGAGACCCAAUGCCCAGAAGGCUAGAUGCGUGGGGAGGAGCCACAUACGAGAAACUGCCUCCCUGCUUCGGGUCAGAACAAGCCCCAGGAAGAAAGUAUUUCAAACAACAAGGUGCAUCUGCCCCAACCCAUCCAGCCUGCAUGUUGGUGCUGAGAACAGCCUUUUAUGGGGCUUGCACUGAGCCAUGGGCAUGUCUGAACACAACAAGGAAGAGGCCAGAGCAGCAACAGCACGCAAAGGGUUGAUGGGCAUUUCUUUUAAGACAGAGCAGAAAACUCUUAGAUACUUUGCGUCCUUCCUAUUUGACUCAGUCUAUGAAAGCCAGGUUAGCUUGCUUUCUUCCUCCCUAAAUCCUCCAUCCUCAUGACCAACAAAGAAAUAGUUGAAUCAUUUUCCAGGCACAUCUUGGGGAGGAUGUGGGGCCAUUGGAGGCUGUCCUUCCUAGAUAAGUCUUUAGGAGUGAGAACAAGGAGUCUUACCCUCCUCUGUCCACCCACCCCCAUGAAUGGGCCUGGCUCCAGCCAGGAGUUGUGGUUUUUCCUGAGCUCCUCACCUAUCUCUUCUGGAUUUCACAUUGGCAAACGGGGUUGCAAAGUGCUCUUCGUGCUCUUUGGACAGUGCCUUGUGGAGAGGAAUGCCCAUGCCCCUGCAUUCCAAGGCCUUGGUAAGCAAGCUCAGAGUAGCUGGAUUUUUCUAAAGCAAUUGCAGAACACCUGCUUUUUCUUUGUUUCCUCUAGAAAGGACCAACCACACCGAGCUCAGUUAUGGCACACACAGUGGGACCUAGACAAAGGGAGAGGGUGACCGACAUCCCAACUAGGUAAACACAGAGGAGGUUCCACAUGGACUUAUCUGGGUGGCUGUUUUGAAAACGAGAAACAGUCAAGAGUCCCUGGCCCCACAGACCCACCUCCCCAACUCAGCACUGUCUGUCUGUGCAGCAGGUGCAAGGACGUGUUGAACUAGCUCUCUGCAGCCUCCUUGGAGGAUGUGAUCCUAUGGGAGGGGUAGGAGUAUUCAGGUCCUUGACAUCUCCCAAAUGUGUGAUUCCGGGAUGCCAAAGGCCUUUGGCCAGGUAAUGCAGUGUCUACAGGCUGAGGUUGACAUGCAUCCCCACCCUCUGAGAAAAAGAUCCUCAGACAAUCCAUGUGCUUCUCUUGUCCUUCAUUCCACCGGAGUCUGUCUCAUACCCAACCAGAUUUCAGUGGAGUGAAGUUCAGGAGGCAUGGAGCUGACAACCAUGAGGCCUCGGCAGCCACCGCCACCACCGCCGCCGCCACCACCGUAGCAGCAGCAGCAGCAGCAGCAGCAGCAGCAGCAGCAGCAAGAGUAACUCUGACUUAGGAAUAGAGACAGCCAGAGAGAAAUGUGAUCAAUGAAGGAGACAUCUGGAGUGUGCGUGCUUCUUCAGAGGGACGGGUGAUGGGCAGAUUGGAAAAAGCACCGCAGAUGGGAACCUUAAUCUUUCUUUUCUAAAAUUGAUGCUAUGAAAAUUUGCGUUUUCUGUAACUUGUAAAAACUAAAAGUUGCUUGUCUACUGAAAAGCCUCUCUGCCUCUAUGUUUUAUACCAUCGGAUGCCAACUCCCGGCCUUCUAAGCCACCUCCCCUUUAGGCUAAAACUGAGACAUGAACUUGAAAAAUUGACACUGGCUUCCUCUCUCUUUAGGGUCCCCAGGCAGGUGGCUGGGACACUAUUUGCAAUCAGCAAGGAACCCUGCUGCCCUUAGACUCCCCACAGAGCAAGCAGAACUUGCAGAAUGGGGUAAAAACACUCUAUUAAAGAUUUUUUAAACCUAUUUAUAUUGUAAUAAAGUAAAUGUAAAUAAAAUUUAAGUGAAGGCAGAUUGCAGAUAUUUCCGAUGCUAUACAAGAUAUAUCUCAUAGUAUGGGUGUAGAUUCUGCAAAGGUUAAUGCAGUUAAACAUAUUUGACACAUAAAAAUGUCAGAUCCAACAUUAAUCAUUCACCAAUUGUAAUU